GUGGGGAAUAUUGGACAAUGGGCGAAAGCCUGAUCCAGCCAUGCCGCGUGUGUGAAGAAGGUCUUCGGAUUGUAAAGCACUUUAAGUUGGGAGGAAGGGCAGUAAGUUAAUACCUUGCUGUUUUGACGUUACCGACAGAAUAAGCACCGGCUAACUUCGUGCCAGCAGCCGCGGUAAUACGAAGGGUGCAAGCGUUAAUCGGAAUUACUGGGCGUAAAGCGCGCGUAGGUGGUUUUGUAAGUUGGAGGUGAAAUCCCCGGGCUCAACCUGGGAACUUCAUCCAAAACUGCAUGACUAGAGUACGGUAGAGGGUAGUGGAAUUUCCUGUGUAGCGGUGAAAUGCGUAGAUAUAGGAAGGAACACCAGUGGCGAAGGCGACUACCUGGACUGAUACUGACACUGAGGUGCGAAAGCGUGGGGAGCAAACAGGAUUAGAAACCCUUGUAGUCC
rnacentral:rRNA from 1 species